CAAUAUAAUUGGUUGUUUCUGCAUGUUAUUCUUAUUUUUUGCCUGUUUAUUCUCAGAGUCAGUUCUAUUGGAAACUUCUCUAGUCCAUUUUCCAGACAAGAAACAUUGUAGUAUGCUUAUGUCGUAUUUGAUGGCUUAGUUAAAUAUCUCCUGCAAGUUUUGGAUGUGUUCAACUUAAGUAUAUUAGUAAGUCUUACAGGUGAUUGACUUAUAUGUGUAUGGUUAAUGUGAUUUCUCUCCCCCUUGUUGAGCAGAGUGGGGACUUCCUUCACCAAUUUCCACAUUAGCACAUAAACACAUUCCCCCUUUUUUCUCAGCAUGCAGAGAAGUGGUUAUAAAAGGAAAUUCAUAAGAAGAAACCUUACUGAAUAUCUGUAUUUGGUUGCUGGGCACUGCUGUGGCUCUGUUUGUCAAGGUGAAAAAAAAGUUGGAGACAGUCUUCUAGAGUCUACUCACCUGAGUAGCUAAUUAGGACUAUGCCACAAUAUGGUGCAAAUAGUUAAAAUAACAGUUGUUGCUUUUUUUUAUUCCAGUGGACCCCCAUUUGCCCAUAUGCUAUACCAGGUAUAUUGAGCAGGGCAAGAAAAAAAAUGUUGCCCUGAGUAAUUGGUGCAGUAAUUUGAUUCUCCUUUCCCACAUACAGAAAUAAACAAAUAAUUAUUGUUGUCACACAUAAUGUCCUUUUACUAUAUUUCAUGUUUAAUGUGGGGCUAAGAUGAAUGGGGCAGAUCACAUUCAACAGUAGUGCUGUUCCAGUCAAUUUUAUAUUUUGCUGUUGUCUUUCCAUUACCAUAGCAGCUGGACACUUCAAUUUUGAUCAAAAGUAUAACAGCUUGUUAAACGCUGUUAUAGCAUGUGUCUAUAGUCACUUAGAGGAUUUUUAAGUAAGACUUUAUAGGAUUUUUUUCUGUAAUGAAACAAUUGAAAAUGACUUGCAUUGUCAGUUCUUAGGGAUAGAACCUCAUUUCUGUUCGUAUAAAGGUUGAAAAAAUUAAGGUGCAAGGAAAUUUUUGAGUACUGGCACAUUGCCAAGGGGAAAGAAAAUAUGGACUAGUAUAUUGGUGAUACAGAAGAAAACAUAAAACAGCAUAACUUAGUACCAUGUUAUUCUUAUAUCAGUCCCCAGGUCAGCUUUGCUAUAAGGAUAAGGUAGAGAGGAAUCCGUCUUCAUGGUAGGGAAGACAUCAAGUGAUGAUAAAUUAGCAUUACCUUGGGGGGAGGAGGGGGAGGGUGGUAAAGGGGUAUUUUCAUCUCUGGACACUGAACAUGUGCCACAAAACUUGAAGCUGUGUAUGUGAGAUGCAUGAAGCUGUUUAUAUGAGAUGCAUUCACAUUUUAUUUUGGUAAGGGGCAAGAGAGGAAACAACUGUGGUUUGUAGAAGAUAUGUACACAAACAGGCAUUUUCAUUUGUUCUUGUAAGUUGUGGCAUACUUUCUUUACUUGAGAACUAAGAUUCUUAAAUACUAACAUUUCUACUUCUGAUAAAGCUGGCCUGAAAUUCUUGUAUGAGACUGUUCAGCUCUUGCAUGCAAGUUUCUUGGAAUCUCUUGAUAUAUUUUUCCCUCACAAUAUCAGCUUUUUUCAUGGGAAAGAUGAAAGGGGUGUAACAUUUCAGAUGUCUUAUGUACUUUUACACAAGUUUAUAGCACAGCAGGAGAAUGAUUUUCGGUUCAUCAAUGCUCAGUUAUGAGCUCAAGUCCUUAAGCAGGUGAAACAGUUGUGCCCUUUUUGUAGCUCUUUUUAGUAACCCAGAACUGUUGUAUCACAACUCAAGUGUAAGUCAAUCAAGGUCGCAUCAGGCAGAGUUAAGACGCUAAGAUGUUUUCCUGCAGUCUUGCCAGUAGCCCCCUCUCUAUGCCAUAGCAUUUGAAGACAUUACUGGUCGUACAAUUCAAAACAAACAAACAAAAACCACCUAAGGUUGCUAGAGUAGGUAAGAUGUUACUAACAAACUAACCAAGUUUCCAUGAGCUAUUAUCUUUAUAAGUAACAGUGUAAGUCUAAUGUAUUCACCAAAUCAAAACAACCCCCCUUUUAGCGAGGUAUCUUCUUAAUGUUAUAAUUCCAGUUAAAAUUUAAUAGUGCGUAGUGUUUUUAGAGAUUGGUAAUAACCAUGUUCUUAUUAGGUAUUUUUUUAAUUACAUAAGAAAAUAGUGCUUCCUCUUCAAAAACAAACAAACAAAACCUGCUUAAAACCUACUUUUCUUUUAGAUAAUUAUUUCAGCUUAAUAACAAGAAAACCAAUCCUGGCAGAAAAAGUGCUGUUAAAACACGAUUGUUUUUACCACACUGAAAAUCAUUGACAUACACAUUAAAGAAGAAAAGUACAAAAGUAUUCUUAAAUUUCUACUUCCAUAAUACCAUCCUAGAAGAUUGUGUUUGCCUUUCUUGGAACUUUUUCCCUGAAGGGCUAAUUAAAACAUAUGUAUAGGAACAAUUUUUCCAAUCUUUUCUCAAACUUCUGUACCUAACUCUGUAGCUGAUGACUUCCUUUCAUGAUUAGGAUCAGUAGGAGCAAUUUGUUAAUAUUUUUGUCUCAGACUUCUGCUGUUACUCUGCCACCUUGCCAGGAUGUAUAAGGCAAGCUUCAGUGCUUUAUGUUGCCCUUUUAACACUCACUGAAUACGAUGGUCGUUUUUUGGAGCCUCAUGUCUUCACCUCCUUCAAAAUAAUAUAAGCAUUCUGAAUAGUGCAACUCAGCUUUUUCAGACUGUGGGAAGCAGUCAAGUUGCAUCAACUACUGUAUAUUUAGUACUUGUAGUUAUGGCCUUGUUGCUACUUCAAUACAUUGAUAGAUAGCCCAGCAAUCUUUUAAGUCUGGAAAAUUAAACAUAACUGUUAAUACAAUUGAACUGCUUGUUUGACAUCUCUGUAUUUUAAGUGAAGUGUUCCUACUUCAAAACCACUUUAAAUUUGAUACCUAUUCAACAACCGAUUGUUUGGCUUGAGAAUAAAUUAUCUCUGUAAUUACACUUUGUCAGCUACUUAAGAACUAAUUUACAUCAGCUAGUGUAUUUGAAGCAGGGUGCUGGUGAGGUGUUUUGUCUUACAAGCCACAAGGGAAGAUGCUUCCUGCCCUUAAAACUAGAGCUUUUCUAUUAAAAGAACACAUCUUCUACUAGAAAUGCAUGCAAAGCUAACUAAUUUAAAGUACGUGAGCAGUAGGGUAAAGACGUGAGGCUCUAGCAGAACUGGAUUAGCAAGUUAACUAAGCACAGUUCUGUCCAGGUUAGUUACUCAGCACUGCCUACUGGACAGAUACAUAACUUUGCCAUAUUUACAGUUACUUCUGCCAAUCUUGCAUAUAAGCUAGAUUGUGUUUAAAUUGCAAGUCUCGAGUAUAACACUUGCACAGUU